ensembl:processed_transcript 1700030C12Rik RIKEN cDNA 1700030C12 gene
GUUGUUCACGUUGGUCCCGUCCUCCCGCUCCUCCACGAUCCAGCGCGGGUCCCCCUGGCCCCACUUGGCCAUGGCGGCGCUGACGACGACGGCCCUGGUAGCGGGAGCGCGCGGGUUUCCGGCCAGAAGUGAUCCUCUAGAGACAAAAGAUCGUGCUUGCAAGUGCCUGGGAUUGUGGAUACAGUUACAAUAAGGGUUUAUUAAUUCUUUCCAUCGUUUUUCACCUUCUAGCAAAAACUGAAGCCACCAUCUGGAAAGUGUUUCUUAGGAGAUUAUUUUAACAAAUAAAAUAGGUAGUUCAAUGGGAGAUGGGGAAGGACCUGGCUGCUCUGUGCACUUGCCAUUCAGUGGUCUGCUUAUCAGCAAAACAAGCUGAAAGGGCUAUGGUGUUUAUUGGAGCUAUUGCAUUUCGAUGUGUUCUUCGAGAAGUUACAUCAUUCAAACUGCUGAAGCAAUGCUGUGACCCCCCCCCCCAAAUCAAACGGCAUUGUUAGUUCAACUGAUCAUACCAAAGGCACAGCUGACAGAAGGCAAGACUCUAGCGAUGAUUGGCGUGUACUUUGUGUGCCUACUUUUCAUCCAGUUCUUCUGUUUGCUCCUGAUAAAACAUUUCAUGAUAAGAUUUAGAUAUGUUCAUUUGAACCUGACAGAAAAUAAGACUUCUGAGGGUAGAAGCUGCUACAAUCACUAAAAUGUAUAAAUACCAAAAUAUACAAGAACUACUCCCAGUAGAAAUAAAUUUACUGGAAUGUAACUCGAUUGUGAGUCUAGGAGACCAAUGGACCCUGAAGCACUCUUCAGAUCUGCGAUUUAAAAAUGACCUCCAAUAAGACAUUGCAAAAAUGGGAAAGAAACAAUGG